rnacentral:tRNA from 1 species
GCCGGGGUACUCUAGCCAGGAAGGAGGCAGAGGAAGCCUAAGCCUGGAAUUCUGCUAGAAAGCCUGUGGCCCUUGUGGCCACGUGGGUUCAAAUCCCACCCCCGGCG